UACGGAGGGUGCAAGCGUUAUCCGGAUUCACUGGGUUUAAAGGGUGCGUAGGUGGAUUGGUAAGUCAGUGGUGAAAUCUCCGAGCUUAACUCGGAAACUGCCAUUGAUACUAUUAGUCUUGAAUUAUCUGGAGGUAAGCGGAAUAUGUCAUGUAGCGGUGAAAUGCUUAGAUAUGACAUAGAACACCAAUUGCGAAGGCAGCUUACUACGGAUAUAUUGACACUGAGGCACGAAAGCGUGGGGAUCAAACAGG
rnacentral:rRNA from 1 species